rnacentral:rRNA from 1 species
AUUGAACGCUGGCGGCAUGCUUUACACAUGCAAGUCGAACGGCAGCGCGGGCUUCGGCCUGGCGGCGAGUGGCGAACGGGUGAGUAAUACAUCGGAACGUGCCCAGUAGUGGGGGAUAGCUCGGCGAAAGCCGGAUUAAUACCGCAUACGACCUGAGGGUGAAAGCGGGGGAUCUUCGGACCUCGCGCUAUUGGAGCGGCCGAUGGCAAAUUAGCUAGUUGGUGGGGUAAAGGCCUACCAAGGCGACGAUCUGUAGCUGGUCUGAGAGGACGACCAGCCACACUGGGACUGAGACACGGCCCAGACUCCUACGGGAGGCAGCAGUGGGGAAUUUUGGACAAUGGGCGAAAGCCUGAUCCAGCAAUGCCGCGUGUGUGAUGAAGGCCUUCGGGUUGUAAAGCACUUUUGGCGGGAACGAAAAGGACUGUGCCAAUACCACGGUUCGAUGACGGUACCCGCAGAAUAAGCACCGGCUAACUACGUG